rnacentral:rRNA from 1 species
UACGUAGGGGGCAAGCGUUGUCCGGAUUUAUUGGCGUAAAGAGCGUGUAGGCGGUUUGGUAGGUCCGUUGUGAAAACUCGAGGCUCAACCUCGAGACGCCGAUGGAAACCAUCAGACUAGAGUCCGGAAGAGGAGAGUGGAAUUCCUGGUGUAGCGGUGAAAUGCGCAGAUAUCAGGAAGAACACCCGUGGCUAAGGCGGCUCUCUAGUACGGUACUGACGCUGAGACGCGAAAGCGUGGGGAGCGAACAGG